GCGCUAAACCGCUGAGCCAGCCGGGCUGCCCCUAUUUUUUUUUACGAAGAUUUCAUUAUAAAAGUGUUUUUGUAAGCUGCUAGGACCUGAGCUGCGAGCUCCCAGCCCACGCUGGGCUGGGGCUGGGGCUGGGGCUGGGGCUGGGGCUGGGGCUGGGGCUGGGCUGGGGCCGGGCUGAAAACGGCUGACGUGGGACCCCCGCGUGUGCACCGGUUCUGCACGCGCCGCCCCGCCUGGGCCCGCUCCCGGUGCAUCCCCUCGACGCGUGGGCCCUCUCCCGGCGCAUCCUCUCUGCAUGCGGUUCCCCGAGUGUUCCCUCUCCUGCUGCAUCCGCUCUGCACGCGCCUCCUCGCGUGAACCGCCCCGCACGGGACCGGUCCUGUCCCCGGGCAUAACAGGCCUCCAGCCCACUGUCCCGCGCGUCCCUAGCGGAGGAAUCCGGAGGCAGGGAAUGAGUAUGUCCCAUGAGACCCAAAGCUCCAGGAUCCCAGACAUUUGUUAGCAUUUCUUUAGGGGGAAAAAUUUGGAGAGAGGAGCAAUCUGGUUGGUUGUAUUGUGCCCAAGGUUGCGAAUCCGAGAAACCACCAAGGAGCCGACACCGAUGCAAACACAUGAGGGUUUAUUAACAAGCUCGAGCUUGGGUCCAAGUACACCCGACACAGCGGAGCAGGGACUUGGACCCCGAGGUGGGCUCCAACUGGGUUUUUAUGGGCUGGUCUAGGAGGAAGGUGGGAUUUUUCAGUAAUGGUGGGGGUGUGAGAGUCUCCAGUAAAGAGGUCUCACAAGCUCUUGCUUCCUUAUUCUAAUAAGGGCGCGAUUUGUUGUUGUUGUUGUUGUUGUUUUUGUUUUUUUCUGUAGCCAGGGUAAGGUAGAGUUCAGUACCUGGUCACAGUAGCCUGGUCGCAGUGGUCUGAGACUGCUACCAAAGCUACAGUGUGCUUGUGCCAAUGUUAAACUUGAAUGGCCCUAAUUUUCUCAGCCUCCACAGUUAUUUUCAAAACAAGCAAGCAUGCAGUUGAAAUAAAAAAUUACUGUAACUUAGCACUACAUAAUUUUUAAGUGUUAAAAAAUUAGUUUGUUAUUCCAUACAGAUGCAGAUUGUGUUACAUUGCUUCCAGUUUUGUGUUAUUAAAAUUUGGCAUAGACCUGAGAAUGCAUGGAAAG
rnacentral:lncRNA from 1 species